UUAGGUUAAGUUAGGAAGGGCGCAUGGUGGAUGCCUUGGUACUAGGAGCCGAUGAAGGACGGGACUAACACCGAUAUGCCUCGGGGAGCUGUAAGUAAGCUUUGAUCCGGGGAUUUCCGAAUGGGGCAACCCAAUAGUUUUAAUCGACUAUUAUCCGCAUCUGAAUUCAUAGGAUGUGUGAAGGUAAACGUGGGGAACUGAAACAUCUCAGUACCCACAGGAACAGAAAGAAAAUUCGAUUCCCUGAGUAGCGGCGAGCGAAACGGGAACAGCCCAAACCAAGAAGCUUGCUUCUUGGGGUUGUAGGACUGAACAUUUGAGUUACCAAAGAGCUUGAUAGCUGAAGGGCCUGGGAAGGCCAGCCAGAGAGGGUGACAGCCCCGUAAGUUAAAUCAAACUCCCUCAGUUCAGGAUCCUGAGUACGGCGGAGCACGUGAAAUUCCGUCGGAAUCCGGGAGGACCAUCUCCCAAGGCUAAAUACUACCUAGUGACCGAUAGUGAACCAGUACCGUGAGGGAAAGGUGAAAAGCACCCCGGAAGGGGAGUGAAAUAGUUCUUGAAACCAUGUGCCUACAAGAAGUCAGAGCCCGUUAAUGGGUGAUGGCGUGCCUUUUGUAGAAUGAACCGGCGAGUUACGUUCGUAUGCCAGGUUAAGU
rnacentral:rRNA from 1 species